rnacentral:rRNA from 1 species
UACAGAGGUCUCAAGCGUUGUUCGGAUUCAUUGGGCGUAAAGCGUCCGCAGGUGGUUAUCCAAGUCUGCUGUUAAAGCGCGAGGCUUAGCUUCGUACAGGCAGUGGAAACUGGGUGACUGGAGUAUGGUAGGGGUAGCGGGAAUUCCCAGUGUAGCGGUGAAAUGCGUAGAUAUUGGGAAGAACACCAGCGGCGAAAGCGCGCUACUGGGCCAUUACUGACACUCAUGGCCGAAAGCUAGGGGAGCGAAAGAG